rnacentral:rRNA from 1 species
UACGCAUGCAGUCGACGGGAGACACGUUUUCGGAUGUGUCGAGAGUGGCGAACGGGUGAGUAACACGUAGGUGACCUGCCUUGGAGAGGGGGACAACCAGUGGAAACGCUGGCUAAUACCCCAGAUGUCUAAUCAGUUAGAGAAAUUAGACUAAAGUUCCGGCGCUCCAAGAGGGGCCUGCGGUCCAUCAGCUAGUUGGUGAGGUAAUGGCCCACCAAGGCGAAGACGGAUAGGGGGCGUGAGAGCGCGACCCCCCACACUGGUACUGAUACACGGACCAGAUACCUACGGGUAGCAGCAGCGAGGAAUAUUGCGCAAUGGGGGCAACCCUGACGCAGCAACGCCGCGUGGAGGACGAAGGCCUUCGGGUCGUAAACUCCUUUUCUGAGAGAAGAGAAAGGACGGUACCUCAGGAAUAAGGCCCGGCUAACUACGUGCCAGCAGCCGCGGUAAAACGUAGGGGCCAAGCGUUAUCCGGAUUUACUGGGCGUAAAGCGCGUGCAGGCGGUGACGCAAGUCGGAUGUGAAAGCUCCUGGCUCAACUAGGAGAGGCCAUUCGAGACUGCGUGACUAGAGGAUGGUAGAGGUAAGCGGAAUUCCCGGUGUAGCGGUGAAAUGCGUAGAUAUCGGGAGGAACACCAGAGGCGAAGGCGGCUUACUGGGCCAUACCUGACGCUCAGACGCGAAAGCUAGGGGAGAGAACGGGAUUAGAAACCCCGGUAUUCCUAGCCGUAAACGAUGUCAACUAGGUGUGGGAGGUUGCAAGACCUUCCGUGCCGCAGUAAACACGGUAAGUUGACCGCCUGGGGAGUACGGCCGCAAGGCUAAAACUCAAAGGAAUUGGCGGGGACCCGCACAAGCAGCGGAGCGUGUGGUUUAAUUCGAGGCAACGCGAAGAACCUUACCAGGGCUUGACAUGUAACUAGUAGCGACUCGAAAGAGAAGCGACCCUUUCGGGGAGGUUACACAAGGUGCUGCAUGGCUUGUCGUCAGCUCGUGCCCUGGAGGUGUUCGGUUAAGUCCGCUAACC